AUUGAACGCUGGCGGCAUGCUUUACACAUGCAAGUCGAACGGUAACAGGCCGCAAGGUGCUGACGAGUGGCGAACGGGUGAGUAAUGCAUCGGAACGUGCCCAGUCGUGGGGGAUAACGCAGCGAAAGCUGCGCUAAUACCGCAUACGAUCUAUGGAUGAAAGCGGGGGACCGUAAGGCCUCGCGCGAUUGGAGCGGCCGAUGUCAGAUUAGGUAGUUGGUGGGGUAAAGGCUCACCAAGCCAACGAUCUGUAGCUGGUCUGAGAGGACGACCAGCCACACUGGGAAUGAGACACGGCCCAGACUCCUACGGGAGGCAGCAGUGGGGAAUUUUGGACAAUGGGCGCAAGCCUGAUCCAGCAAUGCCGCGUGCAGGAAGAAGGCCUUCGGGUUGUAAACUGCUUUUGUACGGAACGAAAAGGCUCUGGAUAAUACCUGGGGCUCAUGACGGUACCGUAAGAAUAAGCACCGGCUAACUACGUGCCAGCCGCCGCAGUAAGAC
rnacentral:rRNA from 1 species